UGUGUGUUAGUGGAAGCGUCUGGAAAGGCGCGCGAUACAGGGUGACAGCCCCGUACACAAAAAUGCACAUACUGUGAGCUCGAUGAGUAGGGCGGGACACGUGGUAUCCUGUCUGAAUAUGGGGGGACCAUCCUCCAAGGCUAAAUACUCCUGACUGACCGAUAGUGAACCAGUACCGUGAGGGAAAGGCGAAAAGAACCCCGGCGAGGGGAGUGAAAAAGAACCUGAAACCGUGUACGUACAAGCAGUGGGAGCACGCUUCGGCGUGUGACUGCGUACCUUUUGUAUAAUGGGUCAGCGACUUAUAUUCUGUAGCAAGGUUAACCGAAUAGGGGAGCCGAAGGGAAACCGAGUCUUAACUGGGCGUUAAGUUGCAGGGUAUAGACCCGAAACCCGGUGAUCUAGCCAUGGGCAGGUUGAAGGUUGGGUAACACUAACUGGAGGACCGAACCGACUAAUGUUGAAAAAUUAGCGGAUGACUUGUGGCUGGGGGUGAAAGGCCAAUCAAACCGGGAGAUAGCUGGUUCUCCCCGAAAGCUAUUUAGGUAGCGCCUCGUGAAUUCAUCUCCGGGGGUAGAGCACUGUUUCGGCAAGGGGGUCAUCCCGACUUACCAACCCGAUGCAAACUGCGAAUACCGGAGAAUGUUAUCACGGGAGACACACGGCGGGUGCUAACGUCCGUCGUGAAGAGGGAAACAACCCAGACCGCCAGCUAAGGUCCCAAAGUCAUGGUUAAGUGGGAAACGAUGUGGGAAGGCCCAGACAGCCAGGAUGUUGGCUUAGAAGCAGCCAUCAUUUAAAGAAAGCGUAAUAGCUCACUGGUCGAGUCGGCCUGCGCGGAAGAUGUAACGGGGCUAAACCAUGCACCGAAGCUGCGGCAGCGACACUAUGUGUUGUUGGGUAGGGGAGCGU
rnacentral:rRNA from 1 species